rnacentral:rRNA from 1 species
UCCUCCGCUUAUUGAUAUGCUUAAGUUCAGCGGGUAUCCCUACCUGAUCCGAGGUCAA